UAGGGUUUGAUCCUGGCUCAGAUUGAACGCUGGCGGCAGGCCUAACACAUGCAAGUCGAGCGGAUGAAGGGAGCUUGCUCCUGGAUUCAGCGGCGGACGGGUGAGUAAUGCCUAGGAAUCUGCCUGGUAGUGGGGGAUAACGUCCGGAAACGGGCGCUAAUACCGCAUACGUCCUGAGGGAGAAAGUGGGGGAUCUUCGGACCUCACGCUAUCAGAUGAGCCUAGGUCGGAUUAGCUAGUUGGUGGGGUAAAGGCCUACCAAGGCGACGAUCCGUAACUGGUCUGAGAGGAUGAUCAGUCACACUGGAACUGAGACACGGUCCAGACUCCUACGGGAGGCAGCAGUGGGGAAUAUUGGACAAUGGGCGAAAGCCUGAUCCAGCCAUGCCGCGUGUGUGAAGAAGGUCUUCGGAUUGUAAAGCACUUUAAGUUGGGAGGAAGGGCAGUAAGUUAAUACCUUGCUGUUUUGACGUUACCAACAGAAUAAGCACCGGCUAACUUCGUGCCAGCAGCCGCGGUAAUACGAAGGGUGCAAGCGUUAAUCGGAAUUACUGGGCGUAAAGCGCGCGUAGGUGGUUCAGCAAGUUGGAUGUGAAAUCCCCGGGCUCAACCUGGGAACUGCAUCCAAAACUACUGAGCUAGAGUACGGUAGAGGGUGGUGGAAUUUCCUGUGUAGCGGUGAAAUGCGUAGAUAUAGGAAGGAACACCAGUGGCGAAGGCGACCACCUGGACUGAUACUGACACUGAGGUGCGAAAGCGUGGGGAGCAAACAGGAUUAGAUACCCUGGUAGUCCACGCCGUAAACGAUGUCGACUAGCCGUUGGGAUCCUUGAGAUCUUAGUGGCGCAGCUAACGCGAUAAGUCGACCGCCUGGGGAGUACGGCCGCAAGGUUAAAACUCAAAGGAAUUGACGGC
rnacentral:rRNA from 1 species